GACGAACGCUGGCGGCGUGCCUAAUACAUGCAAGUCGAACGCAGUGGGGACGGGUGAGUAACACGUGGGUAACCUCCCAUCAGAGGGGAUAACACUUGGAAACAGGUGCUAAACCGAUACUGAUGGAUGGACUCGCGGUGCAUUAGCUAGUGGGUGAGGUAAGGGCUCACCAAGGCCACGAUGCAUAGCGGACCUGAGAGGGUGAUCGGCCACACGGGGACUGAGACACGGCCCAGACUCCUACGGGAGGCAGCAGUAGGGAAUAUUCGGCAAUGGGCGAAAGUCUGACCGAGCAACGCCGCGUGAGUGAAGAAGGUUUUCGGAUCGUAAAACUCUGUUGUUGGAGAAGCGGUAUCUAACCAGGAAGCCACGGCUAACUACGUGCCAGCAGCCGCGGUAAUAC
rnacentral:rRNA from 1 species